CAAGAAAACGAAUACCUGGCCCUCUCCUGGAGGAUGCUGGAGCACUUCAUCAACUACGUACAGCACUGCUGAAGAGGCAGAAAGAAGUGAGUGCUCCAAGAAAUCAUCUUGUUUGUGUGCUGGUCCCACAGAGCCCCAGCUGAGCCUCCUGCAGUGCCGUGCACUCUCUGGAUGGAGUGUCACCUACCAAGGAUGCAGCAAAUGCAUGCACAAGGAAGCUUUAAAAUAUGGCAGGGCAUCAUUAUUGACGUAGAAAGACUAAUGGUGAUGUUGUUCCCUGUAGCCUGCAAGAGAUGAAUGUGUCUGUUUAAAGCUCUCGGGCUCUGAGCUCCUCGAAGUAUCCUUCCUUAAUGCUGAUGGGUAAAUCCAUACCUAAGCGUGCUGUAAUUUGUUGCGAGUAGCCUCUUCUCUCCCCUUUGGGUAUUCCUGUGCUCAUAUCUUUGCCGUCAAAGACAGAACUUCCUUAAUCUUUCUUCCUUCUUCAUUAAAUUCACAGCUUUGGUAAUUUA